UUUCAAAUCAGCCAGCUUGGCCGCAGUGAAACGGGAAACAGGUGUAAUACCUUUGGUAUGAAUCCUGUACUGCCCCCGCAACGGUAAUUCACUUUACUUUACCGGCAAAGUGAUAAGUCCGGAGACCGGCCAGGUAUCGUUAAUCACA
rnacentral:ncRNA from 1 species